rnacentral:rRNA from 1 species
UACAGAGGUCUCAAGCGUUGUUCGGAUUCAUUGGGCGUAAAGGGUGCGUAGGCGGCGCGGUAAGUCGGUGGUGAAAUCCUGGAGCUCAACUCCAGAACUGCCUUCGAUACUGAGAGUCUCGAGUCCGAGAGAGGUGAGUGGAACUGCGAGUGUAGAGGUGAAAUUCGUAGAUAUUCGCAAGAACACCAGUGGCGAAGGCGGCUCACUGGCUCGGUACUGACGCUGAGGUGCGAAAGCGUGGGGAGCAAACAGG